AGACGGUCAGGCAGAUGGAGUGGUUUAUGGCCCCUAGACACCAUAAACCACAGCUUCCUGACAGCUUGCCAGGGGAGACCACUCAGUGACCACUAAACCAUCACAUGACAUUAAAGGACAAGAACACUGUAAGAGUGACUGCAUUCAAGUAACAGGUUUAUUGUCUGCAGCCAAGUCUCAGAUUGCAGUGAAAGCCCAAUGCUCAUCAGGCAAGGGAUCUCUUUGACCCUGGAAGACCCUAAUGGACUGUCAUAGAUAUGGAAACACUUGAUAGUCUUGACAAUUAUGUUACUGGCAAUACAACAGACAUGAAGUGUCAGUACAACACCAUUGCAGUGGCUCUGUAUUAUGUUUUUAAGGUCAGUCUCUGAUACUUGCAACUUGUCCUAAACAGACAUGAAAAUAUUAUAGGAUUUUGACCCAGUAGGAAACCUGGUACAUGACAAGUACAUACCAAAGCACUUGAACAUGUUGAUGCAAAAUGCAUAUCCAGUAUAUACAUAUGUAAGUUUUCAUAUAUAUAAUAAACGCAGUGUGGUUUCACUAA